rnacentral:rRNA from 1 species
AGGCCACUGCUAUCGGAGUUCGAUUAAGCCAUGCGAGUCGAGAGGUGUAAGACCUCGGCAUACUGCUCAGUAACACGUGGACAACCUACCCUGUAGUGAGGGAUAACCCCGGGAAACUGGGGAUAAUACCUCAUAGACUAUGGAUGCUGGAAUGCUCUGUAGUUCAAAGGUCCGCCGCUUCAGGAUGGGCCUGCGGCCGAUUAGGUAGUUGUUGGGGUAACGGCCCAACAAGCCUGUAAUCGGUACGGGUUGUGGGAGCAAGAGCCCGGAGAUGGAUUCUGAGACACGAAUCCAGGCCCUACGGGGCGCAGCAGGCGCGAAAACUUUACAAUGCGAGCAAUCGUGAUAAGGGAACUCCGAGUGCCUGUAAAAUCAGGCUGUCCGCCAGUGUAAAUAACUGGUGAAGAAAGGGCCGGGCAAGACCGGUGCCAGCCGCCGCGGUAAUACCGGCGGCUCGAGUGGUGGCCACUAUUACUGGGCUUAAAGCGUUCGUAGCUGGUCUGUUAAGUCUCUGGGGAAAUCUUCCGGCUUAACCGGAAGGCGUCUCAGGGAUACUGGCAGACUAGGGACCGGAAGAGGUGAGAGGUACUUCAGGGGUAGGAGUGAAAUCCUGUAAUCCUUGAGGGACCACCUGUGGCGAAGGCGUCUCACCAGGACGGCUCCGACAGUGAGGAACGAAAGCUGGGGGAGCAAACCGGAUUAGAUACCCGGGUAGUCCCAGCUGUAAAUGAUGCACGUUAGGUGUAUCGGUGACCACGAGUCACCGAGGUGCCGAAGAGAAAUCGUGAAACGUGCCGCCUGGGAAGUACGGUCGCAAGGCUGAAACUUAA